rnacentral:rRNA from 1 species
UAGGGAAUAUUGCACAAUGGGGGAAACCCUGAUGCAGCGACGCCGCGUGAGUGAUGAAGGCCUUCGGGUCGUAAAGCUCUGUCGUAUGGGACUAACAAAAUGAAGGUACCAUGCAAGAAAGGAUCGGCUAACUUCGUGCCAGCAGCCGCGGUAAGACGAGGGAUCCUAGCGUUGUUCGGAAUCAUUGGGCGUAAAGCGGGUGUAGGCGGACUUAUAAGUCAGGUGUGAAAUCCCAGGGCUCAACCCUGGAAGUGCACUUGAUACUGCAAGUCUUGAGUGUGGUAGAGGCUAUUAGAAUUCCUGGUGUAGCGGUGAAAUGCGUAGAUAUCAAGAGGAACACCUGAGGUGAAGACGGGUUGCUGGGCUGACACUGACGCUGAGGCGCGAAAGCCAGGGGAGCAAACGGGAUUAGAUACCCGGGUAGUCCCUGAGCGGGCUGGCAAGGCGCAU